UAGAUGGCGACCGGCGCACGGGUGAGUAACGCGUAUCCAACCUGCCGAUAACUCGGGGAUAGCCUUUCGAAAGAAAGAUUAAUAUCCGAUGGUAUAUUUUCUCCGCAUGGUGAGAAUAUUAAAGAAUUUCGGUUAUCGAUGGGGAUGCGUUCCAUUAGUUUGUUGGCGGGGUAACGGCCCACCAAGACCACGAUGGAUAGGGGUUCUGAGAGGAAGGUCCCCCACAUUGGAACUGAGACACGGUCCAA
rnacentral:rRNA from 1 species